GUCGGCGCCCUAGGGCCCACCCACGCACUUCCAGGUGCACGUGAUGCUGCCAAGGAAGGGCCGGCUGUUUGCUGCUAGAAUGGGUGCUAGGGAAGUGCGGCGUCUUCUGGGAAUUAGAUUGCUGUUGGGCCACUGUGAGGCGAGGCUGGUGCUGCUGCCCUCGCCUGCGGCCCCUGCGUAUUUCGACCGAGUCCCUGAGGAAGAGGACGUGGCGUGGGCAGAUGGGCCCUGCCUUCCGCCCUCUAGGUGACUCAGGGAAACGGCCUCCCCGCAGAGCGUUCCUCCCCCGCCUAGUUUCAUGCAGUGGGUGGUUACUUAUAUCCCAAGGAAGGGGAAUGAAAUGGGCUUCAAAUGGUCCCUGCCCUUACGCACACCCUUCUGAUGGUUGGAGAAACUGACUCGCGGAUCCUAGGAAAGUCUCCUCUUCGGGUAGUGCUUAAUUAGCUCAAAGGACAGUGAAGGCCAUUUGUGAGUUAUCUCAAUCUGGCUUUGUGAUAACUUUUCCCUAGGCUCUUUGCGGACAUUUUGGUGGACUUGGCAUCGGCCCAGUUGAGUGAUCACUUUGGCGUUAGAAGAAUUUUGAGUAUCAUAACGCUUAAGGAAGGACUGGACCAAAAUUGUAGCAGGACGAGGUUUCAGUCACAUCAAAUUACGAGUCUCAAAGAUAAUUAGGUUAAGGAUGGUUGGCUUAAAAAAAUACCUUAAGUGUCUUACUGGAGGGAAGAGAUUAUUAGACGUGUAUUUCAGUGGGACCACCUCGACACUGCCUGUAGAUUAGCAGUGGGACUGUAAGCGCUUCAAAGCCGGAUCAUCGUGUCUUCUACAGCAUUAAGACGAAGCAUGAUGGCCCAGUCCUUCUGAAUUUAAUUCCUCUCGUCUUCAAUCAAGAGGCAUGGGUCAACUAAUCUACUUACAGCUCUAUGAAAUGUAAAUUUCUUUAUUAAUAGUAAGAAUCGCACACGGAGUCAAGAAGACGGCUAUUUGCAGAAGCAAGAAGAAAGAGAAGGCAGUAGAUUAGAAAGGGUGGUAAGAGGUUACUAUACGUUAGAGAAACCAUGAUAUACAACACAUAGGCCCAAACUGCUACUCCAGAAAGACAGUGUUAUAGCAAUCACCUGUUUAAGCUUCCUAAUUAGUUCUCGAAGCUGAGCCUCCACACGGAAUGCAGAAAAUAAGCACCUCCAAUGAAUCCAAUGUUUUUGGCACCAUGAAGCUGGAGCUCCACUAUAAACCAAAAAUACUGUUGUCAUGAAAAUAUCUUCUACAAGUGAAAGGCAUUCUAACAGUCUCAUUUUAUUGCAAAAGUGGAAAUCCAGGGGCUGGGGGUUUAGCUCAGUGCCUUGCAAGCAGGCGCUCGUGAGUACGAUCCCCGCUACCGAUAAAACAAUGAAAAAGACAAAAAAAAAAAAAAAAAAAGUGGAAAUCCAUAAGUAACUGGUAGUCUUUAAAUGAAAUCUUUCCAAGAACUAACAAACUACUUUAGGAUAUUUAUAAAAACAAUUGUCAGUUAAAUUAAAAAUAAUUUUAUAAUAGAGUUCUUUUUACAUAUAAUCAUUAACAAAUAUCGAGUUACUUUCUCAUCUAACUGAUUUAUACAGAAAGCAAAUUCUCUAAGAUCAUUUAGGUUUGAGAAGAGGACCAGUAUUAUUCAGUAAAUGCGUAACAAGUUACUUGACAUAACCUCACUGAUGGCCAAUGUCACUCUCAUUAGUUGUAGAUCAAACUGGCAUGUUCUAGUACAAAAACCACUCUCAUAUACCUUGAUUUGCACUGUUCAAAGAUGACAGCUAAAGUUGCAAAGUCAUUAAAUCCUCCAGCUUUAGCUGCCAAUUCGCGAUGUUUCUGUUCUGCUUCCUUCUGGUACUCGGGAUCAACUAAGGAGAAUUGGAAAGGUAAUUUAGUUCUACUUUACAUUAACUGCCCACACUCACUGUGUUUUCUUCAAGUUCAUCCAAGUCUGCCUCUGGGUAUCAUAUAGUAGAACUAUGUGAGCUCCUCUUUGGGGCUCUAAUUUCUUCCACAACUCCUUUUUUUCUACUUCUUUGUGUGCAUGUAUAGAGCUGGGAAUUGAACCCAGGGUUUUCACAAUGAGCUACAUGCCCAUUCCUUUUUUAUUUUGAGACUGGGUAUCACUGAGUUGCUCAGGUUGGUCUCAAAACUCAAAUCCUCAGGUUGCAGCCCCUCAGGUGGCUGGGAUUAUAGGACAUAGCACCACGUCUGGCUUUUUUCCGCCUUUAUAUAAAUGGAAUCAUAUAUUUAAUGUGUCUGGGUUUUUUUGCUCAGCAUUAUGUUUUUGAGAUAUAUCUAUUACUGACUAUGAUAUCACCUCCCAGAUCCCCUUCAGAAUUGACAUGCUCUCUGACUGCCCAAGCCCUCUCCAUAUAGCAUUUUACCCAGGCUAAACUUCCACAAUUCCAUUUAUAAAAAAACUACUUAAGGAUCUUUCUUUUAUGGCAAUGUAUUACAGCACAAUCCUAUUCCUUUAGUAUAGCUAUCAGAGCUGGAUUUAACAGAGCCACAACACUGCCUGAUUCCAAGAAACAAAAUUUAAAUAGAAGACUACAAUGUGAAUCUGCAGUCCGUGAUUCUAGGAAGACAGCUACCUGAUUAAAAAAAACCUUAAUGAAAGUAUAAAUUCUUCUACCUCAGGCUCUAAACAGUUUUCAACUGUUAUGUAGGCAACAAUGGAAGGAAGCAGAGACAAAAGGAAACAGAAUAUAUCUCAGACCAUUUGAAAUGGUCUUGCUAAAGUAAAGAUACAAAUUAUUAAUAAUGCCUAUCUCUUAUCAAACUUCCAAUUGUACUACAUCCAGCACUGACUCCACUCUGGCUAGUAAUCCUAGGAGACGAACCCAUGCCUAAGCCAUGGGCUCCUGGAAUCCCUGCACCAGAGAGUUUUCUCCAGAACUACAGAGCUACUGGAAUUCCUGAAUUGUAGUGUUUUUUUUUCCUACAGAAAUGUAGAAGCCUUGAGUUCAAUCACCAGUACCACAAAAGGAAUGAAUGAAUGAGAACUAGAAAGAGAAAGAAAAAAGGAAAGAAAACAAAAAGAGAAAGAGAAAGAAGGGAAGAGAAGGGACCCUCAACUGUCUGACUCCAUAGGGAUAUAUAAAGCCUUAGAGAAUGCUUCCCGCUGUGGCCCAGUUCUUCCUUUCCUUGCCUCCUCUACAUGAUUCUCUGGCUGUAACACCAACAAUACUAAUUUGCAUACAUGGUUCAACAUCCUUUAUGAAGAUGGAACGUAACUGCAAUAAAUUUUGGUGGAUUACAAUUUAAA